AACCGGUCAAAAGAGAGAGACUAGAAAAUAAAACCACAAGUAUCCUUAACAACCAACAGCAUCAGUUGACGCAUUGUUUCUCUCUCUCUCUCUCUCUGUGCAAAAUUCAAAUACGAAAAUAAAAUCAUGAUAAGAAGUUAUGUAUAUCAUGAUGUUAUCAGGCUGGGUGAUGCUUAUAAAUUGCCUUUGUUCAAGUAAUUGAAUUUUUGGAUGGCAAUUGAAUAAUUAAUUAGAUAAUUGAACACACUUGAGGAAUACAUAUAUGAAAUUGCACUCUUCUUAUACUUCAUUUCUUUUUAAUUUUAAAUAUGCUAAUAUACUGUUUUUAGAGCCUUUCUUUUAA